GCGAAGGUGGCGGAACUGGUAGACGCGCUAGCUUGAGGUGCUAGUGGCCGCUUUGGCUGUGGGGGUUCGAGUCCCCCCCUUCGCACAA
rnacentral:tRNA from 1 species